CCUACGGGUGGCUGCAGUGAGGAAUAUUGGUCAAUGGACGAGAGUCUGAACCAGCCAAGUAGCGUGAAGGAUGACUGCCCUAUGGGUUGUAAACUUCUUUUAUAUGGGAAUAAAAUGUUCCACGUGUGGGAUUUUGUAUGUACCAUAUGAAUAAGGAUCGGCUAACUCAGUGCCAGCAGCCGCGGUAAUACGGAGGAUCCGAGCGUUAUCCGGAUUUAUUGGGUGUAAAGGGAGCGUAGGUGGAUUGUUAAGUCAGUUGUGAAAGUUUGCGGCUCAACCGUAGAAUUGCAGUUGAAACUGGCAGUCUUGAGUACAGUAGAGGUGGGCGGAAUUCGUGGUGUAGCGGUGAAAUGCUUAGAUAUCACGAAGAACUCCGAUUGCGAAGGCAGUUCACUGGACUGCAACUGACGCUGAGGCUCGAAAGUGUGGGUAUCAAACAGGAUUAGAUACCCGUGUAGUC
rnacentral:rRNA from 1 species